rnacentral:rRNA from 1 species
UGGUGGUGUGAAUUGUCUGGUUAAUUCCGUUAACGAACGAGACCUCGACCUGCUAAAUAGAACGCGUUUGUCUUCGGGCAAGCGUUGUUCUUCUUAGAGGGACUAUCGGUGUUUAGCCGAAGGAAGUUCGAGGCAAUAACA